AACGAACGCUGGCGGCAGGCUUAACACAUGCAAGCCGAACGGUUGUAGCAAUACAGCAGUGGCGCACGGGUGAGUAACACGUGGGAAUAUCCCUUUCAGUACGGAAUAACGUCGGGAAACUGACGCUAAUACCGUAUACACCUCCGGGUGAAAGAUUUAUCGCUGAAAGAUUAGCCCGCGUCAGAUCAGCUAGUUGGUGGGGUAACGGCCUACCAAGGCUCCGAUCUGUAGCUGGUCUUAGAGGACGAUCAGCCACACUGGAACUGAGACACGGUCCAGACUCCUACGGGAGGCAGCAGUGGGGAAUAUUGGACAAUGGGGGAAACCCUGAUCCAGCCAUGCCGCGUGAGUGAUGAAGGCCUUCGGGUUGUAAAGCUCUUUUGUCAGGGAAGAUGAUGACUGUACCUGAAGAAUAAGCCCCGGCUAACUUCGUGCCAGCCGCCGCGGUAAAAC
rnacentral:rRNA from 1 species